GACGAACGCUGGCGGCGUGCCUAAUACAUGCAAGUUGAGCGCUGAAGGUUGGUACUUGUACCCACUGGAUGAGCAGCGAACGGGUGAGUAACGCGUGGGGAAUCUGCCUUUGAGCGGGGGACAACAUUUGGAAACGAAUGCUAAUACCGCAUAAAAACUUUAAACACAAGUUUUAAGUUUGAAAGAUGCAAUUGCAUCACUCAAAGAUGAUCCCGCGUUGUAUUAGCUAGUUGGUGAGGUAAAGGCUCACCAAGGCGAUGAUACAUAGCCGACCUGAGAGGGUGAUCGGCCACAUUGGGACUGAGACACGGCCCAAACUCCUACGGGAGGCAGCAGUAGGGAAUCUUCGGCAAUGGACGAAAGGCUGACCGAGCGACGCCGCGUGAGUGAAGAAGGUUUUCGGAUCGUAAAACUCUGUUGGUAGAGAAGAACGUUGGUGAGAGUGGAAAGCUCAUCAAGUGACGGUAACUACCCAGAAAGGGACGGCUAACUACGUG
rnacentral:rRNA from 1 species